rnacentral:rRNA from 1 species
GACGAACGCUGGCGGCGUGCUUAACACAUGCAAGUCGAACGGAAAGGCCCUGCUUUUGUGGGGUGCUCGAGUGGCGAACGGGUGAGUAACACGUGAGUAACCUGCCCUUGACUUUGGGAUAACUUCAGGAAACUGGGGCUAAUACCGGAUAGGAGCUCCUGCUGCAUGGUGGGGGUUGGAAAGUUUCGGCGGUUGGGGAUGGACUCGCGGCUUAUCAGCUUGUUGGUGGGGUAGUGGCUUACCAAGGCUUUGACGGGUAGCCGGCCUGAGAGGGUGACCGGCCACAUUGGGACGGAGAUGCGGCCCAGACUCCUACGGGAGGCAGCGGUGGGGAAUAGUGCACAAUGGGCGGAGGCCUGAUGCAGCAACGCCGCGUGCGGGAUGACGGCCUUCGGGUUGUAAACCGCUUUCGCCUGUGACGAAGCGUGAGUGACGGUAAUGGGUAAAGAAGCACCGGCUAACUACGUG